AAGGCUGUACAUUUGGGGUCCUUUCCAAGUCCAUUACUAGAGAAGUUGUACUGACCAUGUGGUGCACAAGAAGACAUGGGAAGAAGCAUAUUGUUCCUUUCUAGGUGUGAAACUGGCUCGUGGUGCUGCUUUACUGCAACUGCUAUUUGCCAGUAAUGAGCAUUCUUCUCCUCAGAAAGAGUACAAGGCAGGGAACGUAGUCUAAGCAGC